GUCUGUAUGGCCGAGCGGUCUAAGUCGCUGCGUUCAGGUCGCAGUCCAGUACUCAAGGCGAGGGUUCGAAUCCCUCUUCUGACA
rnacentral:tRNA from 1 species